rnacentral:ncRNA from 1 species
UUGUACACCGUGCUCAAUGCUACAAGAAAAAGGCUAGGUCAGGCUUCGGCCUGACCAAAAUUCAAGCUGCUAUACCUCUGGCUGCAUUGACUUGUGGUCAGAGUGUAUGGUGAUCAUAGCAAUUGCAAGUAUUGGGCUCGAUAAAUCCUUUGAAGACGACUUAAUUGCAUCCGGGUAUUGUAAGUGUUGAGAGUAGGCUUAGUCUUACGAUCCACUGAGAUUCAUCCCGUGUUGCGCCGAUUUGU